GUCGAACGAUGAACCUGUGCUUGCACGGGGGAUUAGUGGCGAACGGGUGAGUAACACGUGAGUAACCUGCCCUUGACUUCGGGAUAAGCCUGGGAAACUGGGUCUAAUACUGGAUACGACCUCUCAUCGCAUGGUGUGGGGGUGGAAAGUUUUUGCGGUUUUGGAUGGACUCGCGGCCUAUCAGCUUGUUGGUGAGGUAAUGGCUCACCAAGGCGACGACGGGUAGCCGGCCUGAGAGGGUGACCGGCCACACUGGGACUGAGACACGGCCCAGACUCCUACGGGAGGCAGCAGUGGGGAGUAUUGCACAAUGGGCGAAAGCCUGAUGCAGCGACGCCGCGUGAGGGACGACGGCCUUCGGGUUGUAAACCUCUUUCAGUAGGGAACAAGGCAUCAUUUUUGUGGUGUUGAGGGUACUUGCAGAAGAAGCACCGGCUAACUACGUGCCAGCAGCCGCGGUAAUACGUAGGGUGCAAGCGUUAUCCGGAAUUAUUGGGCGUAAAGAGCUCGUAGGCGGUUUGUCGCGUCUGUCGUGAAAGUCCGGGGCUCAACUCCGGAUCUGCGGUGGGUACGGGCAGACUAGAGUGAUGUAGGGGAGACUGGAAUUCCUGGUGUAGCGGUGGAAUGCGCAGAUAUCAGGAGGAACACCGAUGGCGAAGGCAGGUCUCUGGGCAUUAACUGACGCUGA
rnacentral:rRNA from 1 species